CCUACGGGUGGCAGCAGUGGGGAAUAUUGGACAAUGGGCGAAAGCCUGAUCCAGCCAUGCCGCGUGUGUGAAGAAGGCCUUCGGGUUGUAAAGCACUUUCAGUGGGGAAGAAAGCCUUGGGGCUAAUACCCUCGAGGAAGGACAUCACCCACAGAAGAAGCACCGGCUAACUCCGUGCCAGCAGCCGCGGUAAUACGGAGGGUGCGAGCGUUAAUCGGAAUUACUGGGCGUAAAGCGCGCGUAGGCGGUCUGAUAAGCCGGUUGUGAAAGCCCCGGGCUCAACCUGGGAACGGCAUCCGGGACUGUCAGGCUAGAGUGCAGGAGAGGAAGGUAGAAUUCCCGGUGUAGCGGUGAAAUGCGUAGAGAUCGGGAGGAAUACCAGUGGCGAAGGCGGCCUUCUGGACUGACACUGACGCUGAGGUGCGAAAGCGUGGGUAGCAAACAGGAUUAGAUACCCUAGUAGUC
rnacentral:rRNA from 1 species